rnacentral:snRNA from 1 species
GUGCACUCGCUCUGGCAGCACACAUACUAAAAUCGGUACAGUACGGAGAAGAUGAGCGUGGCCCCUGUGUGAGGGUGACACGCAAAUUCGUGAGGCAGUCCGUAUUUUU